rnacentral:rRNA from 1 species
GAUCAUGGCUCAGGAUGAACGCUAGCUACAGGCUUAACACAUGCAAGUCGAGGGGAAACGACAUCGAAAGCUUGCUUUUGAUGGGCGUCGACCGGCGCACGGGUGAGUAACGCGUAUCCAACCUGCCCAUCACUUGGGAAUAACCUUGCGAAAGUAAGACUAAUGCCCAAUGAUAUCCCACGAAGGCAUCCGAAUGGAAUUAAAGAUUUANCGGUGAUGGAUGGGGAUGCGU